CCUACGGGUGGCAGCAGUGAGGAAUAUUGGUCAAUGGGCGUAAGCCUGAACCAGCCAAGUCGCGUGAGGGAUGAAGGUUCUAUGGAUCGUAAACCUCUUUUAUAAGGGAAUAAAGUGUGGGACGUGUCCUAUUUUGUAUGUACCUUAUGAAUAAGCAUCGGCUAACUCCGUGCCAGCAGCCGCGGUAAUACGGAGGAUCCGAUCGUUAUCCGGUUUUAUUGGGUUUAAAGGGUGCGUAGGCGGCCUUUAAAGUCAGCGGUGAAAUUUUGGGGCUAAACCAAGGAGUUGCGGUGAAAACUGGGGGCUUGAGUAUGUUUGAGGCAGGCGGAAUGCGUGGUUUAGCGGUGAAAUGCUUAGAUAUCACGCAGAACCCCGAUUGCGAAGGAAGCCUGCCAAGCCAUGACUGACGCUGAUGCACGAAAGCGUGGGGAUCAAACAGGAUUAGAUACCCGGGUAGUC
rnacentral:rRNA from 1 species